ensembl:misc_RNA 7SK 7SK RNA
GUAUGUGAGGGCGAUCUGGCUGCGACAUCUGUCACCCCAUUAAUCACCAGGGUUGAUUUGGCUGAUCAGGCUGGCUAGGCGGGUGUCCUCUUCCUCCUUCACUGCUCCACGUGCGUCCCUCCCAAAGCUGCAUGCUUGGUGGAAGAGGAUGACCUUCCCCGAUAGAGGAGGAUCCUUCUUCCGUCAAGGGUAUAUGAGUAGCUGCACUCCCCUGCUAGAACCUCUAAACAAGCUUAAGGUCCAAAUUGGCUUAAUAUCUAUAUAUAGGGAAAGGUAUCCUUCUGAGAUGUUUCAAGAGCCUGUCUAGAAAA